rnacentral:rRNA from 1 species
CCCCACUAUGCCCAGCCGUAAACUUUUAAUUACACUCUAAUCGCCCGGGAACUACGAGCAAAGCUUAAAACCCAAAGGACUUGACGGUACCCCACAUCCACCUAGAGGAGCCUGUCCUAUAAUCGAUAAUCCACGUUCAACCUCACCAUUUUUAGCCUAUCAGCCUGUAUACCUCCGUCCUCAGCUUACCCCGUGAGCGAAAUCUAGUAAGCUCAACGCCCUUACGCCAACACGUCAGGUCAAGGUGCAGCAAAUGAAAUGGGAAGAGAUGGGCUACACUCUCUAGUUUAGAAAACACGAAAGACUACCUAUGAAACCUAGUCAGAAGGCGGAUUUAGAAGUAAAAAGAAAACAGCAUGUUCUUUUUAACCAGGCACUGGGGUGUGUACACACCGCCCG